CUUUGUGUGUGCACCGGUCUUAAAGAAGUGACUCAGUGGCAAGUGUAGUUCUCCGUCCCUUUCAGACCAGAUGGGUCACCGGCUGUUGAAAAAGAAUCAAAACCUCUGAAAAGGAAAUACAUGUACGUGGUUGAAAACUCAAAAGGCACCAAAAGUGAUACAGUGACAAGUUGUGUGUUUUCUCUUUCCUGGACGACCGAGAGCUUUCUGAGGGCGGGGCUCAGUUCCUGCCCCAGGAUCUGCCCCGGCACCUGGGGCAGCACCCGUUCAAGGGCAGAUGGCCCAGUGCUGCCUAGGAACAGGCUGACAAGCUGGGCAGCCUGGCAGUCCUCCCCCGGUCUCAGGCUCCCUGAGCCGAGGGGAGGAAGGAGGCUGCUGUCUUUAAAGACGACGUGAUGGACAGUUAUUGAAGGCGCUCAGCUGGGGCUCUACUCUAGUCUUAAUCUGAGCCGCCCUCAAGGAAAUCAUAACCAGCUCUUAAAAACAUGUUAAGACCAAAGCUGGUGUGUGUGUUUGAGCAGAGCUUCAGACAGCUACUUAACACUGGGGGCCUCCAGGCCUUUGAUUCCUCUACCCCUCGCUUUGCCCUCUCCCCCCAUCUGGCUGGUGUUUAUCGGCCAAGACGUUGUUUAAAUCACACUCGCUUCCUAUAAACAUUUCACUUGAAAUGCCAUCCGCUGCUCCAGAAAUUCAUCUAUCACCAGCUCGGGGGUGUACUUGAGAAGCCUCGGGGCGAUGACUCCCCAUUCUCUCUCUCCUGUCCCCCCAUCAUCCCUCCUCCCCUGACCCAUAUGCUCAGGUUUCACACUGUAAGAACAACUUCCCCUCCGUGUAACAGGGCACUUAGUGCCAGGAUUAUUUAUAACAGCUGAGGUGGCAACAGGCUGUGGGGAGCCGCCCGGCCCGUGGAUGCCUCCGCUUGCAAAGCUCAAUAAAUGGACCUGGCACACGGUUUACCACCUGA